rnacentral:rRNA from 1 species
UACGUAGGCAGCGAGCGUUGCUCGGAAUUAUUGGGCGUAAAGCGCGCGCAGGCGGCCUUUUAAGUCUGAUGUGAAAGCCCACGGCUCAACCGUGGAAGGUCAUUGGAAACUGAAAGGCUUGAGUACAGAAGAGGAAAGCGGAAUUCCACGUGUAGCGGUGAAAUGCGUAGAGAUGUGGAGGAACACCAGUGGCGAAGGCGGCUUUCUGGUCUGUAACUGACGCUGAGGCGCGAAAGCGUGGGGAGCAAACAGG